UCCUGUGUUGUUUUCCUAACGUGAUGGAAAUCGAUCCUAGAUGUGUCCCAAUUGUCGCCUUCCACCAAUUUAUGGUGUUAGGUUAACAUUGAAGCACUGCCCAUUCUCCUUGAAUGCUUCGUCUUUCACGUUGCAAUCAUGGAUAGUGGGUUGGUACUAGUUCUCCUCGGAUGCAGAACUUUUGAAGGGUUCACAGCAUAUUGCUGUUGCUGACCCACGAAGCGUUCAUCGGUCAGUGCGUACGACGGUUGUGCCCGCCUUGGUCCCAUCUCCAACUUGGUUGGAUGGGAUUGAUGCGGUGCCGGCGUCAUAAAGGAAUGCUACCUGGUUGAUCCUGCCAGUAGUCAUAUGCUUGUCUCAA
rnacentral:misc_RNA from 1 species